UUGCAUCAUGUCCCUAUCCUGGUCCUGGAA
rnacentral:piRNA from 1 species